CUAGUCAUCUGUGAAAAUAUCAAAACCCUGGAAUCACGCUCUUUUAGCUUAGGAAGCAACUUAUCCAAGAGAACCAUCUUACCAGCAUUCAUAAUAAGAUGAUCUCCUGUUGUAUAUGGUGGGCCAGGCUCAGCACCCUGGAAAAGAUAUGGAUGAUUACAGCAUUUACGCAGCUGCAUUGCUAUAUUCAGAAGACGUUUACGUUCCCCACCAGCAUUAACAACUUCAAGAUCUUUCUGUAGUAAAGCCCUAUAAUACUGUUUCUGCAUCUGGGACAUGCCCACCUUCAGUAUGGUUUCCUUCUUUGGAGGCAAUCCUUUCUCAACAUCUGAUUUCAAUCUUCGGAGAAGAAAUGGCCGUAGAACCUUGUGCAGUUGCUGAACAACCUCCUGCUGAUCAUUUUCACC
rnacentral:misc_RNA from 1 species